rnacentral:tRNA from 1 species
GGCCGACUAGCUCAGUUGGUUAGAGCGUCGUGCUAAUAUAACAUAUUAACAUAUUAACGCGAAGGUCUUGGGUUCGAUCCCCACGUUGGCCA